UGGGGAAUUUUGGACAAUGGGCGAAAGCCUGAUCCAGCAAUGCCGCGUGUGUGAAGAAGGCCUUCGGGUUGUAAAGCACUUUUGUCCGGAAAGAAAUCCUUGGCUCUAAUACAGUCGGGGGAUGACGGUACCGGAAGAAUAAGCACCGGCUAACUACGUGCCAGCAGCCGCGGUAAUACGUAGGGUGCAAGCGUUAAUCGGAAUUACUGGGCGUAAAGCGUGCGCAGGCGGUUUGCUAAGACCGAUGUGAAAUCCCCGGGCUCAACCUGGGAACUGCAUUGGUGACUGGCAGGCUAGAGUAUGGCAGAGGGGGGUAGAAUUCCACGUGUAGCAGUGAAAUGCGUAGAGAUGUGGAGGAAUACCGAUGGCGAAGGCAGCCCCCUGGGCCAAAUACUGACGCUCAUGCACGAAAGCGUGGGGAGCAAAACAGGAUUAGAUACCCUGGUAGUCCACGCCCUAAACGAUGUCAACUAGUUGUUGGGGAUUCAUUCCUUAGUAACGUAGCUAACGCGUGAAGUUGACCGCCU
rnacentral:rRNA from 1 species